rnacentral:rRNA from 1 species
CAGCCGCCGCGGUAAAACAGAGGGUGCGAGCGUUAAUCGGAUUUACUGGGCGUAAAGCGUGCGUAGGCGGCUUUUUAAGUCGGAUGUGAAAUCCCUGAGCUUAACUUAGAAAUUGCAUUCGAUACUGGGAAGCUAGAGUAUGGGAGAGGAUGGUAGAAUUCCAGGUGUAGCGGUGAAAUGCGUAGAGAUCUGGAAGAACACCAGUGGCGAAGGCGGCUCACUGGCUCAUACUGGACGCUGAGGUGCGAAAGCGUGGGGAGCAAACAGGAUUAGAUACCCGCGUAGUCCCUGUCUCUUAUAC